CCAUCAUGACCGAACCUAUUAUUCUUACUAGGAUCUUAACGCCAUCGCGUAUGUCUUCAAUUACCUAAUAAAAAAAAUUCUUAUACAUCCAACCAAACGACUCCGAAAAUUAACUUUAAAAACCCAACUCAAACAAACUGUAAAAUUUUCUGCCUGCAACAAUUUAGAUAAGAAAUAUUCAGAGUUCAAACUUUUCAGCUAAAAUGGCAGUGUCCCCUGUAGCUGGUCUCAACUCCAAGCUUUCACUUCCUUCAGGGAAGCAGCAACACUCCAAAUUCACUGGCCAAUCAGUGAGAGCAAUACCUAUACGCAUAUUAACUGUGGGGAAGAAUAGGUCACAAGGAGUGCAGUUAAUAGUUGAUGAGUAUAUGAAGAAGCUCAGGAAUUAUUGUAGUGUUGAUGAUGUUCGAAUAAAGUCUAAUCCCAAAAAUGCACGUGAUGUAGUGGCUCAAAUUGAACAUGAGGACAUUGCUGUUAUGGGCCUCAUCAAGCCUGAUGAAUGGGUUGUAAUGUUGGAUGAGCGUGGUCAUGAUGUGGGAUCCGAGCAGAUGGCUUCUUUAAUCGGAGACGCUGGAAACAAGGGAGCAUCAAGCUUACUCUUUUGCAUUGGUGGACCUUAUGGACAUGGUAGACAAUUGCGAGAGAGAGCUAACAUAUCAGUUAAAUUGUCAUCCUUAGUCUUGAAUCAUGAGAUUGCCUUAGUUGUACUGAUAGAACAACUUUACAGGUCAGAGACUGGAACAAACUAUUAUUCUUUUGAAGUGCUGGUGCCGCUAACCCCUCCCCUGGUCCCUCAUUUAUGCUGGUAAAUAUUUCAGUGUUGAGAAGAUGGUUUGAGAAUAUAGUUUCACAACCUGAUGUAUUCAUGCGUCCUGCGUCCUAGUUGCUCUGUGCUCAUUAGUCUUUAGAACUAAAAGGCAAACAUAUAUCCUCUGUCCCUCUCCGUAUUAGACACUGUCUGAGAUAGUAUUAUUUUAGUCAAGCAAAAGCUUCCUGGAAACGAGAUUCAGUGACAUGUAUUCUACAACUUUGGCGGACACUGUGCUAAAAAUGGCUAGCCAGCUAAUCCUCCUUUACCUUCUUUAUAGGUUCCUUUCAUCCAUUUAUGUACAGUGUCUUGGCAUAAAUCUUUUUCACCCAAAUCUGAUUGUUUAUCUAUCAUGUCCAUGCAUGAAUUUCCAGAAACUUAAUUGAUACGUUGUUCUGAAUAUUUUGACAGAGGGUGGACCAUUCUUAAAGGACAGAAAUACCAUCACUAGACAUUGAUGUCUUAACCAUGAUAAACCAAUACUGGUACAGGAUUUCUAUUUCUUGGAAUUGGAAGAAGGAAUUGAAAUGACUUCCAAAUUUCAUUCAACCACCAUCAGAGCAACUAAACUCAGGUUUGGAAUGUCUUUUGAGGAUGACCUUGGCCCCCAUUAUAGAUAUUCGACGUGCCUAAAGAGAAGAAGGUGGUUGAGAAGUGAGCAGAACCACAUUCUUAGAUCCUAAAAGUUUGUCAAGGUCUUGACACGUCGAAUACUUGAUGUUUGGCUUGGUUUACUACACUCUUUGUGAAACCAGAUAGUACUUCUAUUGCGAUGGUAUGUGUCAUGUCACACCUCUUGAUGUGCCUGUCCAGAUCUAACGUUGCGAUGUUGACAAGCCUGGCCUAGACAUUUUAGCCACCACAAUGAUCUAAUUCAUUAUGCUAUGUUCACUAUUUCUAAUGAAUGGAGUAAAGGUUUUGUGUAUUUAUAUCCUUUUUGAGUCUUUGGAUUCCAAGUUAGACAAGUAUUGUUUCUUGUGAUAAGAUAUUAUUCAUUUGAAACAUUUGCCAAACCAAUACACAAAAGACACUUUUGUAGACCAAA